rnacentral:rRNA from 1 species
GAUGAACGCUGGCGGCGUGCCUAAUACAUGCAAGUCGAACGAGCGAGAGAGAGCUUGCUUUCUCGAGCGAGUGGCGAACGGGUGAGUAACGCGUGAGGAACUUGCCCUCUAGACUGGGAUAACAGAUAGAAAUGUCUGAUAAUACCGGAUAUUAUUGUUACAUGGCAUCAUGUAGGAAUGAAAGGAUAAGAUUGCUAGAGGAGAGCUUUGCGUCCCAUUAGCUAGUUGGUGAGGUAACGGCCCACCAAGGCAAUGAUGGGUAGCCGGCCUGAGAGGGUGAACGGCCACGAGGGGACUGAGACACGGCCCUU